GAGAAAGGGAAGUCAUCUGCAGCUUAUUCCUGCUGAUGGCCCUGCUGAGCAACCUGAAAAGCUACGCCUGAGGGGUUACAAAGUAAAUCCAGAAAUAGCUUGGAAUAUCCAACCAGUGUGAAAUCCUAGUCAGUAUCAACACAAUGGAUCACUAAUCAGUGCAGACUGAAGAAGUCCAGGAAAGCACUCGAGAGCAGCAGGUACAUGCCCUGUUGGAAGCAAUUGGAGAAGCAAAUUGAAGCAAAUGCAGAAGACUCAGCUGUUGGGUAAAUUGAAGACAAUCCUUCUACAGGCCUAAUCCUAAGGUCUUCUCGUUGACUGCAGAUGACUCAUCUGUGGGAGCUAUGUGAGAGAAAAGUCUGAUGUUGGUCCCACAGCAUGUUGGUUCAUGGCAUGGGGAAAGACUGGUGGAUGAGUCUGAGAUUUUGCUGAUGGUCCUCAUGACGGAAGUUUGAUUACUGUCUCCUGGAAGACUGAAUGGGGUUGUACAGGCUGCAGAAGCUGCACUCGAGGGAAGAAAGCUCCAGGACAAUGUGGCAAGGAAUGUUCAGCUGAAGACUGACUCCAUUUUGCCUUCCAGUGACUGCACUCCUGGGGAUUUUCUGUUACUAAAUAAUGCUCUUAAUGAGAUCUAAGUCCCUAAUAAAAAUAAUUAAAUUAACUC
rnacentral:lncRNA from 7 species